GCCCGCUCCAUAAUUGAGAAUGAAAGAGGGACUCAGCUUCACAAAAUGCACGUGACAGACGUUUAACACAUUUUCCACAUGUUUCCAAACUAAGUCCAAAGUUCAUCUCUCAUCUCUCCUCCUCUACGGCGGCGGUGGGGCAUCAGACAUCAAAAUUGCAUAUGCAAAUACACUCCAAUUUCCAUGCUCUAACUACAUCUCACAUCAAUUUUCUCUGAAUCCUCCUAAAUUUUCCAAAUCGAGUAAGAAAACUCAAGAACCCUAGCCACGAGAAUUAAAAUUAAAUGAUUGAAUGGAGGAAUCAAAGUCCCUAAAGUUAGGGCUUUGAUUCCUAGGCCCUUAUGCUACAUGGUGGUAAUAAGAAUGAAGCCAAACGGCGAAGAAACGCCACUUACCUUCCGGAGAUGAAGGCCCGAGAUUAGAGAAAAUAAAGAUGUUUGAACAGGAUUCAGACAAGAUUCUUCACUCUACACGUCUUCUGCUUUAAUCUUUUUCUUUCUUCUUCUGGUCUUCGAAACUUCUUCUUCUCCUUCGUGUUCUGAUAAUGAAUGGAUGGAACUAUGGAAAGUGAUUGAGGUGUGCGUAGAUGUGCGUGAUUGAGAGAAGUCAAGGUUGAAUUGAGUUCAAAGGAAAAUCCAAGGUGUAAAAUAAAAUUGCAGGGUGAUGAACUAUUUAUAAGAGAAUGAAGUUAACUGAAUCAUGAACUAUGUUAAAUGCUCAAUGUAGAAAGUUAUUUAGAGGUUCUAACUCUAUUAAACCUUGAGGUGCAUGAUUUCAGUUAGGGAUUGAAUUUUCUGUUAGGCAGGAAUUUCAGUUAGUUCAAAGUGUUUUUCUGUUAGUUCAGAUGUUAGUUAGGUUAGUUAGUAAAUCAAAUGGUAACUGGCUAUUACAGGUUUGGAGUUAUGUAACAUGGUGUGUUGAUGACUUGUUGACCAUGUUGUAGUUAUGUUCAGUUGCACAUUGCAGGUUUUGCAGAUUAUGGUUAAUGCAAGUAACUGGCUGAUGAUGAUGACAUGUUGCAGGUUGCUUUUGUCUGGAAAUUGCAAGGUGU
rnacentral:lncRNA from 1 species